rnacentral:rRNA from 1 species
GACGAACCGUGCGAACGUUGUUCGGAAUCACUGGGCUUAAAGGGCGCGUAGGCGGGUUCGCAAGUCAGGGGUGAAAUCUUUCAGCUUAACUGGAAAACAGCCCCUGAUACUGCGAGUCUCGAGGGAGGUAGGGGCAUGUGGAACUUCCGGUGGAGCGGUGAAAUGCGCAGAUAUCGGGAGGAACACCAAUGGCGAAGGCAGCUCGCUGGGACGUUACUGACGCUGAGACGCGAAAGCGUGGGGAGCAAACAGGG